UACAGAGGGUGCAAGCGUUAAUCGGAAUUACUGGGCGUAAAGCGUGCGUAGUCGGUUAUUUAAGUCGGAUGUGAAAUCCCCGGGCUCAACCUGGGAAUUGCAUUCGAUACUGGAUAGCUAGAGUUCGGCAGAGGGAAGCGGAAUUUCUGGUGUAGCGGUGAAAUGCGUAGAUAUCAGAAGGAACAUCAGUGGCGAAAGCGGCUUCCUGGACCAGAACUGACGAUCAGGCACGAAAGCGCGGGGAGCAAACAGG
rnacentral:rRNA from 1 species